rnacentral:rRNA from 1 species
CCUACGGGAGGCAGCAGUGGGGAAUAUUGCACAAUGGGGGAAACCCUGAUGCAGCGACGCCGCGUGAGUGAAGAAGUAUUUCGGUACGUAAAGCUCUAUCAGCAGGGAAGAAAAUGACGGUACCUGACUAAGAAGCACCGGCUAACUACGUGCCAGCAGCCGCGGUAAUACGUAGGGGGCAAGCGUUAUCCGGAUUUACUGGGUGUAAAGGGAGCGUAGACGGCAGCGCAAGUCUGGAGUGAAAUCCCAUGGCUUAACCAUGGAACUGCUUUGGAAACUGGGCAGCUAGAGUGCAGGAGAGGUAAGCGGAAUUCCUAGUGUAGCGGUGAAAUGCGUAGAUAUUAGGAGGAACACCAGUGGCGAAGGCGGCUUACUGGACUGUAACUGACGUUGAGGCUCGAAAGCGUGGGGAGCAAACAGGAUUAGAUACCCGAGUAGUC